AUUGGGUUUGGUAGUCUAAGGACCUCAUCGAUCUUAUUUGUACAUGACGUAGUCCUGUCAGUUUCAUCGAGCCAUGACUUCCAGCUUGCACUGGGGUAUUUUGGAUGAAAAUUAGCACCUCCAAGUCUGAAGCACUGGUUCUCAGCCAGAAAAGAGUGGAGUGCUCACUCCAGGUCUGGAAUAAGUUACGAGUUUUAAGUAUCACUUGUUCUUGGUCUUUAGUAGGGCAGGAACAGAUGGAUUGGUGGGGCGUCUGCUGUCACGUGUACACACCAGUCUGUUGUAUUGAUGAGAGCUGAAUGUGAAAGCAAAGCUGCCAAUUUACUGUACAACUUAUGUUGACAUUCUCCAGGUCAUGAGCUCUGGGUAGUGACCCAAAGAAUGACACUGCUCGCACAAAUGGCAGAAAUUAGGGUGGCUAGGCUCUCCUUUAGAGACAAGGCGAGAUUACUCUGCUUGGACAUGACCUGGACCCAGAUAAGUAGCACAAAUCUUGGAUGGAUGGAUGGAUGGAUGGGUUUCUAUAGUAUUUAAUCAAAUUCAAACUAAAUAUGGGUUCUGUUUGCUACACUUGUGCUUCUUCACAUCUGUGUCACAGACCACACAGCUGAUAUUUUAUGGGGACCAUUUUUUCAGCAGGAAGCAGCUCUACUGAAAGCUACAGACAUUGUGUUAUUCUUUUUCUCAUAAAGACUCCAAGGUCAAAAUCUCUGCAAACAUAAAUAUUUUCUAAUUUAAUAUAGAGUUUAAGGGGCUGUAUAUGUGCACAUGGAAGUGUAAUGCCUGCACACACUUGAUACACAAUGAUCUCAAGAGUUGGAUCAAUAUGAACUCAAACGAACCUUUCUCCUUUAAACAGAAUAUAGUCUAGAUGAAUGCCGAUUAGCUGCAACGUUAUCACUGCCAGAGAUGCUUUUAUAUCAACACACUGGAUACACAAGAGCAGAGUUUGACAAACACUAGUAGUGCUCCUGGAACACCGAAUAGGCUUCAUUGAUCCAUGGCAAGAGUAAAUUACGUUUGAUUUUUUUUCCUCCUGUGCCUUUAGGUUGAUAAAGCCUAUGAGGUUUCUCCCAUGUACAGCAGGGACAGUGACAGUGACCCUUGGACGAUGGUGAUUUAUCAUCAGGCUUCUCUGAUUCUCUGGGACUUCAGCAAGCUAUAGGCUCCGUCUACAGUGGUUGGAUGACUGCCGUUUCUGUAGGUUUACUAGGAUCCAUCUGUUCUCCGCCUGGUAUAGACUACGUUACUUUCUCUUCAUGUUAAAGAGAUGGGAGAAAAAGACAAAGAAAGAAAGACCACGGUUUCAGCCGCACAUUAGUGUGUCGUCACGGAAAAAUCAGCGAGAGUUGCACCUACACAGUUUCACUGCUCCAUCUGUGCUAUGCGAUACGGAGUUUGAGCAACGUUCCAGCAACCGAGGCCAUUUCAUUUCACCACACUGUUUAAUGUGCACAUCGGUGUGAAGUUUAGACCAAGCAUACCCAGGGAUGAAACAAGUUUUGGGCUUUUUUUAAUUUAAUUUACUUUGACUUGGAGGUGCAUUAUGUAAUGCCUGACUUUCUUUGACCUCUUCUGGGAACUAAUGGUACACGUAUCAACAUCAUUAGAAUUUACUUCUUCACCAGACAAGUUUCCAGUAAAGCCUCCCUCCUAACUCUGGGAGCGUAGCCUGCAAUUAACAUAAAUAAGUCACAUAAGAAAAAAGAAGUAAAUCUCCCAACAGAAAUGUUUAGAUCCGAUUUAUGCAAAUCUGGUGAAUAUUACUGAUUAAUUUCUCUUAUCAGGUUCUGACUUGGGCUGUGAGGUAAUAUUUAACCUGCUUACACUUGACUGUUCUGGUUGAAGUACAGCAGGGGCUCUUCUGACAGCCAGAUUCAGUUUGCUUUGCUGGGAGUGCUGGCUGACAAAACAAUUAAUGCUGCUGUGCCUUAGAGAUGCACAGCUGUCCAGCUGCCAGCCUCUCGUCCUGUCAUGACACUGUUGGAGCACGACAUACUGCAGCUCCUCACGUUUAGCUCUAUCGUUUAUACACCAGAUUCAUUAUUUAGCAAACAUUACACUGAAAAGCAUUUAAAAGCAUAUUGUAAAUGGUUAAUUAAUUAUGAGCUGCGAUAGGAGGAUGAUGCCUACAUGUUUUUAGUGAAGGGGAUCCUUUAGAGAAUCAAAAUAUGACAGAAAUAUAUCAACCUUAAUGCCAUUUUUUCUCACUAUGACACUGCAUACUGAAUCGUUUAAUAUUUCAGAGUCUUCAGAAUAUGCUAUGCAGUGUGCUUGGCCACACUAUAGAGCAAUGCAAUGACUAAGACCAUGUAGCAUUUGUCAAAGCUGGAUUUCUGCAUGUUAUAGUAAAUAUGGACAAUAUUUGAGUUUUGCCAGAGAUAAUAUGUGUGUAACUAAAGCAUGUUUAAACAGUUACCACAUGUUACCUAAAGCCUGAAAAAUCAAAUCACAUUGUGUGUUUCAGCACUGACAUCAGUAAGAUGACAUCUAUAAUAACAGAUCCAGGUUGUAAUUUAAUGUUUUGUUUUGCAUGGAUUACACUUUUGAUGUCCACAAGUUCAAUGUCAAUUGCCCAAAUACGUUGACAGAUUUGACGGGAUAGUGAUGCAGAAUUUUGUUAAGCGAAUGAAAAUUUACAUGUAUGACAUUAACAAUAAAUAUUUUGGUGAAAACCUUUGCUCUAAAGGAGAGCAAACAUCAGUCAGUUAAAAUAGUCUUUGACAAUGCCUGAAGAGAAACACUGUGAGGCUAAUUAUUAGGGCACUCAUUUACAUUUUUAAAUCCACUUACAAAAAUUAAUCUUUUGCUUCACAGAGCAAAUCAUUGUCAUUAAGGGAGCCUGGAACUUAAAUCAUCCCCAGUGAUCUAAGACUGCUCUGUUAAAACUGACCAAUUUGAAUUUAAAUGUACGUUUGUCAAAGACUAAAAACACAGACGUCAUUACCUCUCCACUUUCAAAGUGCUAUGGGUGCAGUCUGCAUGUUGUUCUUAGAAAACUCUGGCCGUUCAGUUAAUUUCCCAAAUGGCUUUAUCAGCAGCCAUAGAGCGAAGCUCCCUGGAGACAGAGGCUGCCAUUUUAAAUGGCAUUUGUUGUUCUCUUCAAUACGUAUUUAAGUUGUCAGCUCAAAAGCCUCUGUUUGAAAUCACAAAGCCGGGAAACUGAUGGAGAGAUAGAGACUGAACAAGUAAGAAUGAGCUUCAAAGCUGCCUUUUGUACAAUACUGAAGAUUUAUGCCCUUUGAAUUUAAAAAAAGAAAUAAAGUGGGAAUGGUGGCCUCCGCAUUUCAUUCUAUGUUUAGGUAAUGAAUCAUUUGCAUUGAGUAGUAAUUCUCUAGAAAAAUCUGCUUCUAUCAGUUUGUCAGUGUAAUGUUGCCGGAGUUUCUCGUGGCAACAAAACUUUAGCAUUAAACAGGCUCAUUAUCAAAAUUAUAAGACAAUGCACAACAGUUGGGUUUAUGCUUAUGUAGGUGAACUUUUAUGGUUGUGGCAAUUAGUGCAUGUAAAAGUUCCCUAACCUUUCAGAAGGCACACUGUAUAUUAUAUUUAGUGGAUCUCUUCAUACCGAAG
ensembl:lncRNA